UUGUCAUCUUGUUGCUCACUAAAAACAAGUUCCCAACAACUCAUAAUUAUACCUUUCUAUGAGUCCCUCAUAGGAUGUCUCUCGUAUGUAUGGCAUUGCCUUAAACAGUCCCACCUCUGCCUCCUAGUGAUAUUUUCAUUGCAUUUCGAUCUUUGUGUGAUAGAUUCAAACUAUAAUCUUACCUUAUGUGUUCUUUGCUAGCAUAUUGUAAGGCCUCUAUCACAUCUGAUUGUGUUCACUCCUUUAGUAAUUGAUCUUCGUCCAUCUGUUCUUGAGUCACACAUGGAUAAAGCACAGCCUGGGAUAAUCCAUUGACCAGCAGCUCUCAAAGUCCACUAACUUCACUGGUGGUUUUGUGUGCCAUUGUAAGGAUCAUAGGCCUCUACCCCC
rnacentral:lncRNA from 1 species